rnacentral:rRNA from 1 species
GAUUCUGGCUCAGGAUGAACGCUGGCGGCGUGCUUAACACAUGCAAGUCGAACGGAGAUUACUUUUAGCUUGCUAUUUGUAAUCUUAGUGGCGGACGGGUGAGUAACGCGUGGGUAACCUGCCUUAUACAGGGGGAUAACAGUCGGAAACGACUGCUAAUACCGCAUAAGCGCACAGUAUCGCAUGAUACAGUGUGAAAAAGAUUUAUCGGUAUAAGAUGGACCCGCGUCUGAUUAGCUGGUUGGUGAGGUAACGGCCCACCAAGGCGACGAUCAGUAGCCGGCCUGAGAGGGUGAACGGCCACAUUGGGACUGAGACACGGCCCAAACUCCUACGGGAGGCAGCAGUGGGGAAUAUUGCACAAUGGGGGAAACCCUGAUGCAGCGACGCCGCGUGAGUGAAGAAGUAUUUCGGUAUGUAAAGCUCUAUCAGCAGGGAAGAAAAUGACGGUACCUGACUAAGAAGCCCCGGCUAACUACGUGCCAGCCGCCGC